GUGAAGAUGGCUCAGUGGUAGAGCGCUUGCCUCGCAUGCAUGCGGCCCUGGGUUCAAUUCCUCAGCACC
rfam:Dipodomys ordii contig_32060, whole genome shotgun sequence.